rnacentral:rRNA from 1 species
GACAGAGGGUGCAAACGUUGCUCGGAAUCACUGGGCGUAAAGGGCGUGUAGGCGGGAAGGAAAGUCAGAUGUGAAAUCCCCCAGGCUCAACCUGGGAACUGCAUUUGAAACUCCCUUUCUUGAGUACCGGAGAGGAAAGUGGAAUUCCUGGUGUAGAGGUGAAAUUCGUAGAUAUCAGGAGGAACACCAGUGGCGAAGGCGGCUUUCUGGACGGUAACUGACGCUGGAGAACGCGAAAAGCGUGGGGAGCAAACAGG